rnacentral:rRNA from 1 species
UACGUAGGGUGCGAGCGUUGUCCGGAAUUAUUGGGCGUAAAGAGCUCGUAGGCGGUCUGUCGCGUCGGUCGUGAAAACUUGGGGCUUAACCCUGAGCUUGCGGUCGAUACGGGCAUGACUGGAGUUCGGCAGGGGAGACUGGAAUUCCCGGUGUAGCGGUGAAAUGCGCAGAUAUCGGGAGGAACACCAGUAGCGAAGGCGGCACUCUGGGCCGGUACUGACGCUGAGGAGCGAAAGCGUGGGGAGCGAACAGG